CUCCUCUCCCGCAGAAGGCUCUGCCCCCGCUCCUCCUGGGCUGGACCGCCAUCCAUCUCCGCCCCUCCUGUCCCCGCAGAAGGCUCUGCCCCCGCUCCUCCUGGGCUGGACCGCCAUCCAUCCCCGCCCCUCUCCCGGAGAAGGCUCUGCCCCCGCUCCUCCUGGGCUGGACCGCCAUCCAUCCCCUCCCCUCUCCCGCAGAAGGCUCUGACCCCCGCUCCUCUUCCUCCUCCUCUCGGAGCGGGGGCGGUGGCUGGACCGCCAUCCAUCCCCUCUCCCCUCUCCCGCAGAAGGCUCUGCCCUCCGCUCCUCCUCUUCCUCCUCUCGGGGCGGGGGCGGUGGCUGGACCGCCAUCCAUCCCCGCUCCUCUUCCCGCAGAAGGCUCUGCCCCCGCUCCUCCUGGGCUGGACCGCCAUCCAUCCCCGCUCCUCUUCCCGCAGAAGACUCUGCCCCCGGCUCCUCCUGGGCUGGACCGCCAUCCAUCCCCGCCCCUCUCCCGCAGAAGGCUCUGCCCCCGCUCUUCCUGGGCUGGACCGCCAUCCAUCCCCUCCUGUCCCUGCAGAAGGCUCUGCCCCCCACUCCUCCUCCUCCUCUCGGGGCGGGGGCGGUGGCUGGACCGCCAUCCAUCCCCGCCCCUCCUGUCCCCGCAGAAGGCUCUGUCCCCCACUCCUCCUGGGCUGAACCGCCAUCCAUCCCCUCCUGUCCCGGAGAAGGCUCUGCCCCCGCUCCUCCUGGGCUGGACCGCCAUCCAUCCCCUCCUGUCCCGGCGGAAGGCUCUGCCCUCCGCUCCUCCUCCUCUCGUGGCGGGGGAGGUGGCUGGACCGCCAUCCAUCCCCGCUCCUCUUCCCGCAGAAGGCUCUGCCCCCGCUCCUCCUGGGCUGGACCGCCAUCCAUCCCCUCCUCUCCCGCAGAAGGCUCUGCCCUCCGCUCCGCCUGGGCUGGACCGCCAUCCAUCCCCUCCUGUCCCGGCAGAAGGCUCUGCCCCCGCUCCGCCUGGGCUGGACCGCUAUCCAUCCCCUCCCCUCUCCCGGAGAAGGCUCUGCCCCCCGCUCCUCCUGGGCUGGACCGCUAUCCAUCCCCUCCUCUCCCGCAGAAGGCUCUGCCCUCCGCUCCGCCUGGGCUGGACCGCCAUCCAUCCCCGCCCCUCCUGUCCCUGCAGAAGACUCUGGCCCCGGCUCCUCCUGGGCUGGACCGCCAUCCAUCCCCUCCUGUCCCGGCAGAAGGCUCUGCCCCCGCUCCUCCUGGGCUGGACCGCCAUCCAUCCCCUCCUCUCCCGCAGAAGGCUCUGCCCCCGACUCCUCCUGGGCUGGACCGCCAUCCAUCCCCUCCUCUCCCGCAGAAGGCUCUGCCCUCCGCUCCGCCUGGGCUGGACCGCCAUCCAUCCCCGCCCCUCCUGUCCCCGCAGAAGACUCUGCCCCCCGCUCUUCCUGGGCUGGACCGCCAUCCAUCCCCGCCCCUCCUGUCCCCGCAGAAGACUCUGCCCCCCGCUCCUCCUGGGCUGGACCGCCAUCCAUCCCCUCCUCUCCCGCAGAAGGCUCUGCCCCCGGCUCCUCCUCCUCCUCUCGGGGCGGGGGCGGUGGCAUCCCUGCCUGCCCAGACUCGCCUUUCUCCUCCUUCACUGCCCGGACCCCGUCUGGGCUGCGCCUCCCCCGUUCCCCCGAUCGUGCCG
rnacentral:lncRNA from 1 species